CAGCCGCCACGGUAAUACGGAGGGUGCAAGCGUUAUCCGGAUGUAUUGGGUUUAAAGGGUCCGUAGGCGGAUCUGUAAGUCAGUGGUGAAAUCUCACAGCUUAACUGUGAAACUGCCAUUGAUACUGCAGGUCUUGAGUAAAUUUGAAGUGGCUGGAAUAAGUAGUGUAGCGGUGAAAUGCAUAGAUAUUACUUAGAACACCAAUUGCGAAGGCAGGUCACUAAGAUUUAACUGACGCUGAUGGACGAAAGCGUGGGGAGCGAACAGGAUUAGAUACCCCAGUAGUCCCUGUCUCUUAUAC
rnacentral:rRNA from 1 species